UACGUAGGCAGCGAGCGUUGUUCGGAAUUACUGGGCGUAAAGGGCUCGUAGGUGGCCAAUUAAGUCAGGCGUGAAAUCCCCAGGCUCAACUUGGGAACUGCGUCUGAUACUGGCUGGCUUGAAUUCGGGAGAGGGAUGCAGAAUUCCAGGUGUAGCGGUGAAAUGCGUAGAUAUCUGGAGGAAUACCGGUGGCGAAGGCGGCAUCCUGGACCGAGAUUGACACUGAUGAGCGAAAGCCAGGGGAGCAAACGGG
rnacentral:rRNA from 1 species